UGAGGUUCAGUGUAGUUGGCAGCAGCAAAGGCAGCAGCAGGAGGUGUGUUCCCCGGACAUCCACGAACUUGACAGGGAGCACCGUUCACCAUUUCACAAACACAUGUUUCGUAUAACAUUGGACUAGCGGCAUGACGACAAUAGUAGUUGACUUGACCUAUGCCAAUAUAACAUGGAUGACAAGUUUGCAUGCAUUUUACUUUAUCCGGGCAACCACCUCCAAUCCUGCUUAGCUCGCAUGAUUUCCCCUCAGACAUUACUGUAAAAUUAGCACAAUUUGUAAAAUUUUCUUUGGGCAAAAUUAUUAAGGGUACAAAGGACAGAACCAAGUAUGCAUGAACCAUAUGUAUAUGAAACAGGUUUCGCCACCCUAAAUUAAACAAUAAACAUACUUGACCCACUUUCUUUUUAGAACCUGCACACAAUUUGUAAUUUGGUUCUCGAGUAAUAUUUUGUAAUCGCACUAACUUCGCAACAUGCUAUUUCAUACUUAAUAUUAAUAUUUUU
rnacentral:lncRNA from 1 species